rnacentral:lncRNA from 1 species
GAUAUCUCUUUUUUCUUUUUUUUUUGUAUGUCGGAACGAGUGUAGCAAUCUAUCUAUCUUUUUUUGUUCUUUGUCUAUCGUAUCGUCUCCGUAAAAAAAUUCUCCAGAAUUUGAUUUCGGUUCCCGUAUUUAUAAUGGGAGGGGAGGAGUUAGUUAGGAAUUCAAAAUUCGAAAUUCGAAUUUUGAAUUAUUUGUUGGAUGGUUGGAGGAUAUUUGGGGAGUGGUUGGGAAUUGAAAAUU